GGGGAUGCGUGGUUUCGACGGAGAUCCGCACCUUGGGAACGCGAGUCGAGGUUGCUAUCAGGCCUCGUUAAACCGGUAGCAAAAAGAAGUAACUGGCAAUCGCCAGCCUGCUCUCGCCCUCGCUGCCUAAGGCAGUAAGGUGAGCGUGGAAGCGGCCCCCGCUUCGCGGGUCGUGGAAGCGUCAUAAAGCGAAGCUGCAGUGAUGACGAGCGACGCAUAGUCAUCACGUAAGCCCGAUUUAGGGACAUGUAUCUCGGUUGAGGGUCGAUCCGGCCUGUGGGAGCGCCUCAACUUAGACUAAACCGCAGGACACGCUCGUAGUGGUCUCAAGGAAGGCUUUUCGGACGAGGAGUUCGACUCUCCUCCAUCUCCACCA
rnacentral:tmRNA from 1 species